rnacentral:rRNA from 1 species
CCUACGGGAGGCUGCAGUGGGGAAUAUUGCACAAUGGGGGAAACCCUGAUGCAGCGACGCCGCGUGAGUGAAGAAGUAAUUCGUUAUGUAAAGCUCUAUCAGCAGGGAAGAAAAUGACGGUACCUGAGCAAGAAGCCCCGGCUAACUACGUGCCAGCAGCCGUGGCAAUACGUAGGGGGCCAGCGUUAUCCGGAUUUACCGGGCGUAAAGGGAGCGUAGUCGGCAGUGCAAGUCUGGAGUGGAAGGCGGGGGCUCAACCCCCGGACUGCUCUGGAAACUGUACGGCUGGAGUGCAGGAGAGGUAGGUGGAAUUCGUGGUGUAGCGGUGAAAUGCGUAGAUAUUAGGAGGAACACCAGUGGCGAAGGCGGCUUACUGGACUGUAACUGACGUUGAGGCUCGAAAGCGUGGGGAGCAAACAGGAUUAGAUACCCGAGUAGUC